rnacentral:rRNA from 1 species
CAAUAGCGUAUAUUAAAGUUGUUGCAGUUAAAAAGCUCGUAGUUGGAUUUCUGGUUGAAGCGACCGGUCGGGCGUUGAUUCGUCUGCACUGGAGUCGGUUUUGGCCAUCCUCUAGGAAAGUGCGUCUGGUAUUAAGUUAUCGGGCGUAUGAUCCUGGUCUUUUACUGUGAAAAAAUUAGAGUGUUUAAAGCAGGCCUUCGCCUUGAAUACAUUAGCAUGGAAUAAUAAGAUAGGACUUUGGUCUAUUUUGUUGGUUUGCAGACCGAAGUAAUGAUUAAUAGGGAUAGUUGGGGGUAUUUAUAUUUCGAUGUCAGAGGUGAAAUUCUUAGAUUUUCGGAAGAUAAACUUAUGCGAAAGCAUUUACCAAGGAUGUUUUCAUUAA